GGUCACGAGGGGGCAGCUGGGGGAUCAUCUACAUUAGACUUAAGAACAACUCUACAAGCGAGUUGGACACCAGACAUUAACCCAAAACUUUAAGGUGUUAGGUUUAUUGAUCCUCUCACUUAUAAAAUGUUCAACCUUCACUUUUCUAAACAAUGUGAGACUUAACUCACACUUGCCACCACAUUAUCUUCCCGGGAGAUAAACUAAUCACUAUGCUGAGAUCAUUCAAUAAAAAAAAAAAGAAUAAAAACAAAGGCNNNNNNNNNNNNNNNNNNNNNNNNNNNNNNNNNNNNNNNCACUAUGCUGAGAUCAUUCAAUAAAAAUAAAAAUAAAAGAAUAAAAACAAAGGCAACUUACAAUGGUUCGAUGUACGACUAGACACUAAAUAUAUAGUUGGAAUAUCUUAUCCCUGAAUCCUGAACAACUUUAGGACCCUUGUCUCUUCUUUAGCACAUGAUCGAGUAAAGCAAUACAAGCCAAUUGAGCAAGUGGGCAUGACCGUUUUACUCUUAACCGUGGCUAGCUCAAUCAUACUAAAGAAAGGAAAGAAUUCAAUAUCAUACAUUUGGACAUACAAACAAGAAAGCAAAAAAGAUGAAAAAGCUAUACCUCAUCCACGUAUAGCAAUUUGAUGCCAUUAUUGGUACCACAAUCAUACGCAAUAUCUUUGUAAUCAAGAAGCAUGCAUUAUUAGUAUACUGAGAUUCUAUCCUGGAAAAUUUUGGAACAUAGCUUUUUUCACUACUUUUUUUCUACCAAAGGUUCCUUGAGUGGUAAUCUUAUUUGAUGUACGUCGGUAAGGUUGGUCUUGGACAGGUGCAUCAAGUUUUUCAAAGGUUCAUUCAAAUUUUUGGUACCUCAAAUUUUCUGUUAAUUGAUAGUAUAUAUAGUCUAAUUU
rnacentral:lncRNA from 1 species